ensembl:lncRNA
GCCCAGAGCUCGCCAUUGGGCCUCGCUCCCGGGGUCCCGCGCGCCGGCCGUGCUGAUUGGCCGCUGGGGCUUCAUUCACGGCCCCCCUGCCGUCCGCGUACACACUCACGCCCCGGGGGCGCGGCCGCCACGUGGGGAGUGGCGCGGGGGUGGCACUGGGACCGCACCCCCUCUCGUCCUGGCUGCGUGGGCCCAGCUUUCCCCCCUCGCUGGAGACUCCGAGCCCGGCGGGUCCCACACUCCACGCGAGCUGAAUUCCCGCCCGUCUUUGGCAGGGGCGGCCGGAGGCGGCGGCGAGGAUGGCGGGCUCCGGGAGGCGCUCGGGCUCCGAGAAGCCGCUCAGCCCCGCGCUCCUCCCUCCGCAGUGCCGCUGCAGGCGGGCCGGGAUUCCGCGGGUCUCGGGAGGCUGCGAGCGAGCGGCGGCGCGGGUCCCCAGCUCGGUUCCAGAGCGGCUGCUCGCCUGGGCCGCCUCGCCUCCCGCAGCUUCCAGCGGGCACGGAGCUCUCCUCCGCGCGCCUCUCCGGCCCGUCUCGUUUUCCCCCUCCUUCCGCUAGACCCAGUGCCGCAACUCCGCCGACCUCCGCGGCCCUGAGAGCGCGUCGGCCGCGGGCAGAGUCAGACCCGCUUCACGCCUCGCGCAGGCUCCCCUUCUCCCGGGCACCGCGGCGCAGGGGCAAAGCGGUGUCUGAGCUCUCGCAGCGAGGGGCUGCCCCGGCAGGCGCAGUAGACGGCUGAACACCGGGCCCCGGAACACGGCAGCAUUUAUGCGAUGGAGAAUGAACAGGUUGAGUGGUCAGGAAGGCGAGGGGCUCCCAGGGGCAUCAAGGGCCUCAGAAUUCCAUGGAGGCGGGGGUGAAUUUCCAGAGAAAGGUCAACCAUGUCUAAUGCUGCAAAGGCAUUGAGACCAAGAGAGGGCAUGGGACUUGACAAAUAGGGGUUUGUUGGUGCCCUCAGAGCAGGCCGUUUCUGUGGGAGAGGGCCUGUACGUGGGUGAGUGGAGGAGUGGGGGAGUUUGCUGUGGGAGAAAGGAGGGUUAUAGCUGGGGGAUGCAGAUCUGAGGGUAAGGAACUGAGCCUUGAUUAGGGAUGGCAAUAACUGGCACGUGUGCCACCUCCCCCCUCCCCAGCACUGGCAGACAUCACUAACCAUGCUGCCGAGCCCGGAGGAGGCCUUAGAGUCUUUCUCUCGACAGCCAGGCUGGGGAGCCACUAGCAAUCUAGUGGACUUGGCCAGUCAGAUGAAGCUCUUUUCCUUGCCUGGGCUUGAACACAUACUUGAAGGAUGAUGAGAACGGGGGAUGGAGGGGCGAUUAAAGGCGCAGGAGAGAGGAGGCCUGGUGGAGCCGGGGCCUCCCGGGGCAUGUGUGAACCUCAGUCUGGGAUGACUUCCGGGCCUGGAACCUGGGGGCUUGGAACACUCUGUCUGCGAGUCUGAGGUGACUAGAUGCCAGAACAAAUCCAUGCUUUGGGUGAUGCUGUGAAAAAGCCCAGGACUAAUGGCUGACCUGGGGCAGAGAGAGCGACAUGUCCUGUGUGGUCCUGGGGCAGUGUUUGAGCCAGUGCAAAGAUGCCGCAAGGAGGCAGAUUUUGGCUCAGUUCCGGGAAGAACUUUGCAACAAUUGCAGAUGUUUUAACCGUGAAAGAGGCAGUGAAGGAAUUCCAGUCCCCAGAGACCUCAAGUGGAGUGUGGACUUGUCAGGGAUGCUGCAGAAGGGAACCAGGCUGCAGGACCACACAUGCUGUCUGAGCAGACUGGUGAACAUCUAGUGAUGGGAGGGGGUAGGGAGGCAAUUGAUCCUCAG